AAGAACGCUGGCGGCAGGCCUAACACAUGCAAGUCGAGCGAGAAACCAUCUUCGGGUGGCGGACAGCGGCGGACGGGUGAGUAAUGCGUGGGAAUAUGCCCUUUGGUAUGGAAUAGCCCCUGGAAACGGGGAGUAAUACCGUAUGUGCCCUACGGGGAAAAGAUUUAUCGCCAAAGGAUUAGCCCAUGUUGGAUUAGCUGGUUGGUGAGGUAAAAGCUCACCAAGGCGACGAUCUAUAGCUGGUUUGAGAGGAUGAUCAGCCACACUGGGACUGAGACACGGCCCAGACUCCUACGGGAGGCAGCAGUGGGGAAUAUUAGACAAUGGGCGAAAGCCUGAUCUAGCCAUGCCGCGUGAGUGAAGAAGGCCCUAGGGUUGUAAAGCUCUUUCAGAUGUGAGGAUGAUGACAGUAACAUCAGAAGAAGCCCCGGCUAACUUCGUGCCAGCAGCCGCGGUAAUACGAAGGGGGCUAGCGUNGUUCGGAAUUACUGGGCGUAAAG
rnacentral:rRNA from 1 species